rnacentral:lncRNA from 1 species
AUGGGCGCCUGUACUGCAAGAAGGAUUACUGGGCACGCUUUGGGGAGCUGUGCCAUGGCUGCUCCGAGCAGAUCACCAAGGGGCUGGUCAUGGUGGCCGGGGAGCAGAAGUACCACCCCGAGUGCUUCAGCUGCCUCAACUGCCACGCCUUCAUCGGGGACGGGGACACCUACGCGCUGGUGGAGCGCUCCAAGCUCUACUGGUACGUCAGCUCUGGGGGGCUGGGGGGACACGUCCCCCGGUACCCCCACCCACCUCCUGCUCCGCUCCCCACAGCGGCCACUGCUACUACCAGAUGGUGGUGACCCCGGUGAUCGAGCAGAUCCUGCCCGACUCGCCGGCCUCCCGCAUCCCUCACACCGUCACCCUCGUGUCCAUCCCCGCCUGCUCCGACGGCAAGCGCGGCUUCUCCGUCUCCAUCGACCAGGGCUGCGGCAGCGAGCAUCCCCGCACCGUGCGCGUCCGAGAGUGCGUCCCUGUCCCCUCCCUGGGGCUGGGACAUCCCGCGCCCCUUCUGCCCCUGGGAUCUGUCCCACAGACCCUUUAGGAGUGGGAGGAGGAGCGGUGGGGCUGGGCUGUCCCCAUUGUCCUGGGGUGGCCUGUUGGGACCGUGGUGGCACUGCAGGGGGUUUGUGCUGGUGUGUCCCAUGCUGGCAUUGCCUCGUUUGCCAGUGGGCUGUCUGUCCCUGUGUGUCCCUGUGUGUCCCCGUGUGUCCCUGUGUGUCCCUGUGUGUCCCUGUGUGUCCCUGCGUGUCCCUGUGUGUCCCUGUGUGUCCCCGUGUGGUUGGGGUGGCUUGUGGAGACUGUGCCAUCACAUCCCUGUCCAUGAUGGAGGGUGACAGUGGGGUCUGACACAGCUGUUGGGAGUGUCCCAGCACACCCCCCUGAUGGUGACAGUGUCGGGGGUCUGACCCCACUGUCCCCAGGGUGGACCCGGACUGCAUCAGCCCUGACAUGAAGAACUCCAUCCACGUUGGUGACCGCAUCCUGGAGAUCAACGGGACCCCCAUCGGCCACGUCCCCCU